CAUGUAUUUUGAUUAUUUUUAUUUAUUUAUUUUUUUUCUGCUACAUCGUAUAGUACAGAAAAGAUCCUGAAAGAUGAUAUCCUGAUCAGAUAUCCACCCAAUAAUAACCAUCUCCACCACCAUUUCAGGAUACUUACUGUAUGCUGUGUUACAAGGAAUCAUAAAGAAGGGAGAAAGAAGGGAGGAGGAGAUGGGAGGGAGAGCGUGUUCCCGAGUCAUCCAUGCUGGGAAAC
rnacentral:lncRNA from 1 species